rnacentral:rRNA from 1 species
GAUCAUGGCUCAGGAUGAACGCUAGCGACAGGCUUAACACAUGCAAGUCGAGGGGCAUCAUGAGGUAGCAAUACCUUGAUGGCGACCGGCGCACGGGUGAGUAACGCGUAUGCAACCUGCCCGAUACCGGGGUAUAGCCCAUGGAAACGUGGAUUAACACCCCAUAGUACUUUUAUCCUGCCUGGGAUGUGAGUUUAAAUGUUCAAGGUAUCGGAUGGGCAUGCGUCCUAUUAGUUAG